rnacentral:lncRNA from 1 species
CAUGUUUGAACGAACCUACAUGCGCGAGCAUUGCAUUUAUUAUGAACUUCAGAGCUGCGCUUGGAGAGAGCCAUAGGACGCGCUACCAACAUCAGGCUAAUGGAACGUGAAGUAUGGACUUUUUGACCGAAAAUACAUCUGUUGUGGACCUGGGAUGCUUUCUGAUGAAGACAACUAAAGCAUGGUGAGAGGGACAGGGCUGGGCAUACCAGGGUUUGGAUCAAUUCCUCCUCAAUUUAGUACAUUUGACUUCCUCCACCAUGUUUCUCUCCACCAUGGAGAAGCACACACAGAUGUUGGAUGUGAUCAGCAGUUUUGCAAUGACGAGCAUUGCCUUCCGUGUUGGUGUACCAUGCCAGACCCCAAAAUCUCCCGAGGGGACCGAGGGGAGGACACGUCCCAUGUUCCAGUGAUCGAUCUACGCACACUCCCAG